UACGUAGGGGGCAAGCGUUGUCCGGAAUUAUUGGGCGUAAAGAGCUCGUAGGCGGUCUGUCGCGUCUGCUGUGAAAACCUAGGGCUUAACUCUGGGCGUGCAGUGGGUACGGGCAGGCUAGAGUGCGGUAGGGGAGACUGGAAUUCCUGGUGUAGCGGUGAAAUGCGCAGAUAUCAGGAGGAACACCGGUGGCGAAGGCGGGUCUCUGGGCCGUAACUGACGCUGAGGAGCGAAAGCAUGGGGAGCGAACAGG
rnacentral:rRNA from 1 species